rnacentral:rRNA from 1 species
AAAAAUCCGGGGUUUCAAGGCCGAGAGCUGAUGACGAGUCGUCUUUUAGAUGACGAAGUGGUUGAUGCCAUGCUUCCAAGAAAAGCUUCUAAGCUUCAGGUAACCAGGAACCGUACCCCAAACCGACACAGGUGGUCGGGUAGAGAAUACCAAGGCGCUUGAGGGAACUCGGGUGAAGGAACUAGGCAAAAUGGCACCGUAACUUCGGGAGAAGGUGCGCCGGCUAGGGUGAAGGAUUUACUCCGUAAGCUCUGGCUGGUCGAAGAUACCAGGCCGCUGCGACUGUUUAUUAAAAACACAGCACUCUGCAAACACGAAAGUGGACGUAUAGGGUGUGACGCCUGCCCGGUGCCGGAAGGUUAAUUGAUGGGGUUAGCGCAAGCGAAGCUCUUGAUCGAAGCCCCGGGUAAACGGCGGCCGUAACGAUAACGGUCCUAAGGUAGCGAAAUUCCUUGUCGGGUAAGUUCCGACCUGCACGAAUGGCGUAACGAUGGCGGCGCUGUCUCCACCCGAGACUCAGUGAAAUUGAAAUCGCUGUGAAGAUGCAGUGUAUCCGCGGCUAGACGGAAAGACCCCGUGAACCUUUACUGUAGCUUUGCACUGGACUUUGAGCCUGCUUGUGUAGGAUAGGUGGGAGGCUUUGAAGCGUGGACGCCAGUUCGCGUGGAGCCAUCCUUGAAAUACCACCCUGGCAUGCUUGAGGUUCUAACUCUGGUCCGUAAUCCGGAUCGAGGACAGUGUAUGGUGGGCAGUUUGACUGGGGCGGUCUCCUCCUAAAGAGUAACGGAGGAGUACGAAGGUGCGCUCAGACCGGUCGGAAAUCGGUCGCAGAGUAUAAAGGCAAAAGCGCGCUUGACUGCGAGACAGACACGUCGAGCAGGUACGAAAGUAGGUCUUAGUGAUCCGGUGGUUCUGUAUGGAAGGGCCAUCGCUCAACGGAUAAAAGGUACUCCGGGAUAACAGGCUGAUACCGCCCAAGAGUUCAUAUCGACGGCGGUGUUUGGCACCUCGAUGUCGGCUCAUCACAUCCUGGGGCUGUAGCCGGUCCCAAGGGUAUGGCUGUUCGCCAUUUAAAGUGGUACGCGAGCUGGGUUUAGAACGUCGUGAGACAGUUCGGUCCCUAUCUGCCGUGGACGUUUGAGAUUUGAGAGGGGCUGCUCCUAGUACGAGAGGACCGGAGUGGACGAACCUCUGGUGUUCCGGUUGUCACGCCAGUGGCAUUGCCGGGUAGCUAUGUUCGGAAAAGAUAACCGCUGAAAGCAUCUAAGCGGGAAACUUGCCUCAAGAUGAGAUCUCACUGGGAACUUGAUUCCCCUGAAGGGCCGUCGAAGACUACGACGUUGAUAGGCUGGGUGUGUAGGCGUUGUGAGGCGUUGAGCUAACCAGUACUAAUUGCCC